GCAAAACUUAAUUCCGGAUUUGGUGUAACUCUUGAGCUGCCAACCUCGGCCAGACAUUUUGCUAGAAUAAAGCUCCAAAGGCUUUGGCGUCUUCAGCAGUUGCCUCAUUUCAUGGCCUCGGUCUGAACAUGCCAUUGCUACAA
rnacentral:snoRNA from 1 species